rnacentral:lncRNA from 1 species
AGACAUGGGAGAGACACGCAAGCUGCAAAGGGAAGCAGAGUCAAAUUAAAGCCUCGCAACCACGACUCGGCUUGUGGCGCUGCGGAUGGGGGGUCCCUCCCUCCCUCGGCUUGAUGAAGGUGGGUGUGAGAUCCCACAGGACUGUCUGGAAGAGAGCCCGUGGAAGUCACUGUAUUUUGCAGAAGCUGGAGGCAAAGCAGAAGAUUGCAGCCUGACACUUCUGCCUCUUUUCCCUCUGGGCAUAUCUUACCGGGCCUUUGCAGGUCAUGGCUGGACUGUUGUGGUGGUAUAACUGAAACAAACUGAAGAGAUUGAUGGAAAAAAUUCUAAAAGCAAGGGCAGAAUCUAAAAGCCUGGAUCAUAAAAGAAGGAAUGCUGCAAGACAAAUUCCAGCUGCAACAAUGUUCCACACUCCCACCCGAGUCAUCUGGUGAGGUACUUCUAGAUACCUUUAUUGAACGUAAGUUAGAAGCAAUGAUGUCACCAUAGCAAAGGAAGGACUUUCUUCAAAGCCUAGCAGAUACUUUUGAUUUGUGUGGCCAUAUGGUAGUGCCUAAUGCCCUCUCUUUUAUUUAAGUUUAAAGGAAAACAGAGAAAAUAUUCAAAGACACUACAUUGAAAUCAUUAUUAAUGACUCCUGAGAUCUAGGAUCUGAUUUUGAGCCAAAAGAAAAGAAAUUUCUAUAGAUGGGGUAUUAAAGCAACCUGUGGAGGAAGAGGAAGAGGGUGUUCCAGUUAGUGACCCGAUAGCGGGAUAAAUAGUAGGAAUGUGAAGUCAUUU